rnacentral:lncRNA from 1 species
GCGGAAGGUGAGCUCCAGCGCGGCGCCUGGCGGGCCCAGGGCCCAGCUGCAGUUCCGGUCCGGCCCGUACUCGUCCGGGAAGUCCGGGGAGUAGAUGACGCCCUGAGGCGCUGUCCAGUUCCCCUGGCAGGAGCCCACCGACACUGCGGGCGGGGCCGGCAGUCAGCAUCCUGAGGACCAGGACACGGCGGCUCCCCUGCCCGGCCAGGCCCCACCUCGAGGCCCGCCCAGGCCCCUGGUCCCCGCCCACUCCUCACCUUCAUAGACGCCCAGCCGCCCAUCGCCGCCACACAGCUGUCCAGGGUGGCCGAAACAGAUCUGGUCACAGUCGGUGGCGGGGGCCAGGCGUCCCCGGGCCAGGUCGCUUUCAGAGCCACAGAAGCAGGCGUAACCGGCCUCCACGCCCGCCAGCUGGGAGCACAGACUGGGUGACCCCAGGGCAGGGGCUGGGGUAGGGGUGAAGUGGUGGGGGCCUGGGGUCGGGGUGGGAAUCGGGCUGGAGGUUCAGAAACCGGUGUCUGGGUUUGGCAACCGAGUGUUGGGAGUUGAGUGUGGUCUUUAGGUCCAGGUCAGGGGUCACUGGUCUGGGCCCGUGAGCAGUACCUGGUACCCCUUCAUGCGGCAGAAGCGUAGGCACACCUGGACCGUGAGCUUCGUGGAGGUGCCGCUGGGGCCGCUGAGGGCUGGGGGUGCCCCUGAGUCCACAAAGCAUCCCAGGUAGCCUGGCACUGAGGGGGCAGAGUCAGACUUCCGUGACUCCGAAAACAACCCUCCUCCCAGAUGCAGCAGCGUUCCCACCUCUGUCCAGCCGCGCUACUCACUGUGACAGGAGGGGAUGUCGCAGUAGCGCCAGUAGAUGCCCUCCUCUGUCUCAGCCACGUAGCACCACGGCUGCACGUCACCGUCUGGGUUACUGCGGGUGGGAGGGAGGUGGUGGGGCUCCCACCACCCCAAGAAUAGCAAACCCAGGCCCGGCCCCGCAGCCUAUGCUCAAAGUGGCCUUCAAGGCUCUGUGCCUGUGAGCGGCUGUGCUGCCUGCUGUACACCCACAAAUUCCAGUUUUGUCUACGCAGAACUCUGCCUGAUGAAGGAACUGGACGUCGACUUCCGAGUGGACAGCGGGAAGUCAUUAAAGGGGACUUGAGAGCUGUUUUUAGGCUUCAGCUGUUGCUAGACUUGACUCCAUAUAUGAGGACUUUGAGGCCAUCUGUAUUCUUCACCCCCACCCGGCAUGGGCCUCAGCCACUUCCGUCCCUCAAACCCCACUUUUUUUUUUUUUUUUUGAGACGAGUCUCGCUCUGUCACCCAGGCUAGAGUGCAUUGGCGCGAUCUCUGCUCACUGCAAGCUCCGCCUCCCGGGUUCAAGCGAUUCUCCUGCCUCAGCCUCCUGAGUAGCUGGGAUUACAGGCGCCCGCCACCAUGCCCCGCUAAUUUUUUGUAUUUUUAGUAGAAAUGGGGUUUCACCAUGGUAGCCAGGCUGGUCUCGAACUCCUGACCUCAGAUGAUCCGCCUGCCUUGGCCUCCCAAAGUGCUGGGAUUACAGGCUGAGCCACCGCGCCUGGCCUCCAACCCCACUUAAAAGCAGAAGUGAGCUCCUGAGCUUUGCGGCUCUCCUCCCGCUGGGUCCAUCCUGCCUCAGACCGUAGCUGUGGCUCUGAACCCCAAAAUAAGUUGUAUGACAAGAGCCCCACUCUGACAAGGCCCCG